GAUGAACGCUGGCGGCGUGCCUAAUACAUGCAAGUCGAGCGAACGGACGAGAAGCUUGCUUCUCUGCUGUUAGCGGCGGACGGGUGAGUAACACGUGGAUAACCUACCUAUAAGACUGGGAUAACUUCGGGAAACCGGAGCUAAUACCGGCUAAUAUUUUGAACCGCAUGGUUCAAAAGUGAAAGACGGUCUUGCUGUCACUUAUAGAUGGAUCCGCGCUGCAUUAGCUAGUUGGUAAGGUAACGGCUUACCAAGGCAACGAUGCAUAGCCGACCUGAGAGGAUGAUCGGCCACACUGGAACUGAGACACGGUCCAGACUCCUACGGGAGGCAGCAGUAGGGAAUCUUCCGCAAUGGGCGAAAGCCUGACGGAGCAACGCCGCGUGAGUGAUGAAGGUCUUCGGAUCGUAAAACUCUGUUAUUAGGGAAGAACAGAUGUGUAAGUAACUGUGCACAUCUUGACGGUACCUAAUCAGAAAGCCACGGCUAACUACGUG
rnacentral:rRNA from 1 species